rnacentral:rRNA from 1 species
GGAUUAGUGGCGAACGGGUGAGUAACACGUGAGUAACCUGCCCUUGACUCUGGGAUAAGCCUGGGAAACUGGGUCUAAUACCGGAUAUGACUGACCGUCGCAUGGUGGUUGGUGGAAAGCUUUUGUGGUUUUGGAUGGACUCGCGGCCUAUCAGCUUGUUGGUGGGGUAAUGGCCUACCAAGGCGACGACGGGUAGCCGGCCUGAGAGGGUGACCGGCCACACUGGGACUGAGACACGGCCCAGACUCCUACGGGAGGCAGCAGUGGGGAAUAUUGCACAAUGGGCGCAAGCCUGAUGCAGCGACGCCGCGUGAGGGAUGACGGCCUUCGGGUUGUAAACCUCUUUCAGUAGGGAAGAAGCGUAAGUGACGGUACCUGCAGAAGAAGCGCCGGCUAACUACGUGCCAGCAGCCGCGGUAAUACGUAGGGCGCAAGCGUUAUCCGGAAUUAUUGGGCGUAAAGAGCUCGUAGGCGGUUUGUCGCGUCUGCCGUGAAAGUCCGGGGCUCAACUCCGGAUCUGCGGUGGGUACGGGCAGACUAGAGUGAUGUAGGGGAGACUGGAAUUCCUGGUGUAGCGGUGAAAUGCGCAGAUAUCAGGAGGAACACCGAUGGCGAAGGCAGGUCUCUGGGCAUUAACUGACGCUGAGGAGCGAAAGCAUGGGGAGCGAACAGGAUUAGAUACCCCUGGUAGUCCAUGCCGUAAACGUUGGGCACUAGGUGUGGGGGACAUUCCACGUUUUCCGCGCCGUAGCUAACGCAUUAAGUGCCCCGCCUGGGGAGUACGGCCGCAAGGCUAAAACUCAAAGGAAUUGACGGGGGCCCGCACAAGCGGCGGAGCAUGCGGAUUAAUUCGAUGCAACGCGAAGAACCUUACCAAGGCUUGACAUGAACCGGAAAGAUCUGGAAACAGGUCCCCCACUUGUGGUCGGUUUACAGGUGGUGCAUGGUUGUCGUCAGCUCGUGUCGUGAGAUGUUGGGUUAAGUCCCGCAACGAGCGCAACCCUCGUUCUAUGUUGCCAGCACGUGAUGGUGGGGACUCAUAGGAGACUGCCGGGGUCAACUCGGAGGAAGGUGGGGACGACGUCAAAUCAUCAUGCCCCUUAUGUCUUGGGCUUCACGCAUGCUACAAUGGCCGGUACAAAGGGUUGCGAUACUGUGAGGUGGAGCUAAUCCCAAAAAGCCGGUCUCAGUUCGGAUUGGGGUCUGCAACUCGACCCCAUGAAGUCGGAGUCGCUAGUAAUCGCAGAUCAGCAACGCUGCGGUGAAUACGUUCCCGGGCCUUGUACACACCGCCCGUCAAGUCACGAAAGUUGGUAACACCCGAAGCCGGUGGCCUAA